rnacentral:rRNA from 1 species
GACGAACCGUCCAAACGUUAUUCGGAAUCACUGGGCUUACAGAGUUCGUAGGCGGUCUGGAAAGUUGGGUGUGAAAUCCCUCGGCUCAACCGAGGAACUGCGCUUGAAACUACCAGACUCGAGGGAGAUAGAGGAAAGCGGAACUGAUGGUGGAGCGGUGAAAUGCGUUGAUAUCAUCAGGAACACCGGUGGCGAAGGCGCUUUCUGGGUCUUACCUGGACGCUGAGGAACGAAAGCCAGGGGAGCGAACGGG